GAUGAACGCUGACAGAAUGCUUAACACAUGCAAGUCUUUGGCGAAGCUGUGCUUGCACAGCCUAGCCAAGGCGGACGGGUGAGUAACGCGUAAGGAACUUGCCCUGCAGUCAGGGAUAACAGACGGAAACGACUGAUAAGACCUGGUAAAGUCAGGCGGACUCAUGUCCAGCCCGAUGAAAAGGGGUGCUGCGGGAGAGCCUUGCGUCCUAUUAGCCUGUUGGGGGGGUAACGGCCCACCAAGGCGGCGAGAGGUAGCCGGCCCGAGGGGGGGGACGGCCACGAGGGGAGUGGGAUGCGGCGCUGACUCCUACGGGAGGCAGCGGUGGGGGAUGUUGGACGAUGGGGGCGACCCUGAUCCAGCAAUUCUGUGUGCACGAUGAGGGUUUUCGGAUUGUAAAGUGCUUUCAGCAGGGAAGAAGAAAAUGACGGUACCUGCAGAAGAAGCGACGGCUAAAUACGUG
rnacentral:rRNA from 1 species